GACGAACCGUCCUAACGUUAUUCGGAAUCACUGGGCUUAAAGGGCGCGUAGGCGGGCUUUCAAGUCCGGGGUGAAAUCUUUCGGCUUAACCGGAAAAUUGCCUCGGAUACUGGGAGUCUGGAGGGAGGUAGGGGCGAGCGGAACUUCCGGUGGAGCGGUGAAAUGCGUUGAUAUCCAGCGGAACUCCGGUGGCGAAGGCGGCUCGCUGGGCCCUCUCUGACGCUGAGGCGCGAAAGCCAGGGGAGCGAACGGG
rnacentral:rRNA from 1 species